GGUCGUUUCGGUUAGAUUGGGAUACUCAUCACAUUACAAAUUAUGAAACCGAGAAGACUUCUCUUGCCUAUGGCGGGCCACAAUAAGCCGGACUUCGUUCGGUGAAGCUGCAAAGCCGGUGGAUUACAAAAGCGGGGGGCUCUCAAACUUAUUGCUAAGUUCGGAGUUUCAUCACAUCAUCGGGCGACCCUUUUC
rnacentral:sRNA from 10 species